CCGGCGACCGGCGCACGGGUGAGUAACACGUAUGCAACCUGCCCUCCGCAGGGGGAUAACCCGGAGAAAUCCGGACUAAUACCGCGUGGUACAUCUGUGGGGCAUCCCACGGGUGUUAAAAGGAAGCGAUUCCGGCGGAGGAUGGGCAUGCGGCGCAUUAGCUAGUUGGCGGGGCAACGGCCCACCAAGGCGACGAUGCGUAGGGGUUCUGAGAGGAAGGUCCCCCACACUGGUACUGAGACACGGACCAGACUCCUACGGGAGGCAGCAG
rnacentral:rRNA from 1 species